rnacentral:rRNA from 1 species
UACGUAGGCAGCAAGCGUUGUUCGGAGUUACUGGGCGUAAAGGGUGUGUAGGCGGUUCUUUUAAGUUUGGUGUGAAAUCUCCUGGCUCAACUGGGAGGGUGCGCCGGAAACUGGAGUGCUUGAGCGUGGGAGAGGAAAGUGGAAUUCCUGGUGUAGCGGUGAAAUGCGUAGAUAUCAGGAGGAACACCGGUGGUGUAAACGGCUUUCUGGACCAUAACUGACGCUGAGGCACGAAAGCGUGGGGUAGCAAACAGG